rnacentral:tRNA from 1 species
AAGUCUUAUAUUCAAUAAUGAUAUUAAAUUGCAAAUUUAAAGGAAAAGUUAAACUUUUAAGGCUUA